GCCAGGGUGGUGUAGUGGUCUGAGUGUUGGAUUGGGACUCCAAACUAAGGUUCAGAUCCCUGCUCAGACA